rnacentral:rRNA from 1 species
CCUACGGGAGGCAGCAGUAGGGAAUAUUGCACAAUGGGCGAAAGCCUGAUGGAGCAACGCAGCGUGGAUGAAGAAGGUCUUCGGAUCGUAAAACCCUGUUGUUAGGGAAGAAAAUGCGUGAGAGUAACUGUUCACGUUUCGACGGUAUCUAACCAGAAAGCGACGGCUAACUACGUGCCAGCAGCCGCGGUAAUACGUAGGGUGCAAGCGUUAGACGGUUUUAUGGGGCGUAAAGGGAACGUAGGCGGUCUUUUAAGUCUGAUGUGAAAGCCCUCGGCUUAACCGGAGUAUUGCAUUGGAAACUGGGAGACUUGAGUGCAGAAGAGGAGAGUGGAACUCCAUGUGUAGCGGUGAAAUGCGUAGAUAUAUGGAAGAACACCAGUGGCGAAGGCGGCUCUCUGGUCUGUAACUGACGCUGAGGUUCGAAAGCGUGGGUAGCAAACAGGAUUAGAUACCCGUGUAGUC